rnacentral:piRNA from 1 species
CUUGUGGACUGUGUGGUGCUGU